GUGCCAGCCGCUGCGGUAAUACGUAGGGCGCAAGCGUUGUCCGGAAUUAUUGGGCGUAAAGAGCUCGUAGGCGGUUUGUCGCGUCUGCUGUGAAAACUGGAGGCUCAACCUCCAGCCUGCAGUGGGUACGGGCAGACUAGAGUGCGGUAGGGGAGAUUGGAAUUCCUGGUGUAGCGGUGGAAUGCGCAGAUAUCAGGAGGAACACCGAUGGCGAAGGCAGAUCUCUGGGCCGUAACUGACGCUGAGGAGCGAAAGCGUGGGGAGCAAACAGGCUUAGAUACCCUGGUAGUCCACGCCGUAAACGUUGGAACUAGUUGUGGGACCAUUCCACGGUCUCCGUGACGCAGCUAACGCAUUAACGUUCCCGCCUGGGACGUACGGCCGCAAGGCU
rnacentral:rRNA from 1 species